GCCGUGGUGCCCGUCUACAGCUAGCUCCCAGGUCAGCGUCACAGAGGGCCCUGGGGGAAGUACGACAGUGCCUCCUCUGGGACCCAGCAGCCCUCCGCUCCCCUGCGCUCGCCAGGAUGGGCACGAAGCUUUUUGGGGCUCCGCAACCCGGCUCUGACAUGGGGACAGCAGUUACAGCCAGUGGAGUGGAACCAGCCUUGGAGAUGUUGGCUGCAGGAGCACGUGGCCCCAGGGCAGAGAUGCUGGGGAAGCACAGGCAGAGAGCACCUAGACCUGAAAUAAAAAUUGCCCUUGCUUC